GAUGAACGCUGACAGCAUGCUUAACACAUGCAAGUCCACUUGAAUUUGGGUUUUUUUGCUUAGAUUUGGGUGGCGGACGGGUGAGUAACGCGUAAAGAACUUGCCUCACAGCUAGGGACAACAUUUGGAAACGAAUGCUAAUACCUGAUAUUAUGAUUAUAAGGCAUCUUAGAAUUAUGAAAGCUAUAUGCGCUGUGAGAGAGCUUUGCGUUCCAUUAGCUAGUUGUGGGGGUAACGGCUCACCAAGGCGAGGAUGGGUAGCCGGCCUGGAAGGGUGAACGGCCACAAGGGGACGGAGACACGGCCCUUACGCCUACGGGAGGCAGCAGUGGGGAAUAUUGGACAAGGGACCAAGAGUCUGAUCCAGCAAUUCUGUGUGCACGAUGGCGUUUUUCGGAAUGUAAAGUGCUUUCAGUUGGGAAGAAAAAAAUGACGGUACCAACAGAAGAAGCGACGGCUAAAUACGUG
rnacentral:rRNA from 1 species